rnacentral:rRNA from 1 species
CCUACGGGCGGCAGCAGUGGGGAAUAUUGCACAAUGGGGGAAACUCUGAUGCAGCGACGCCGCGUGAAGGAAGAAGUAUUUCGGUAUGUAAACUUCUAUCAGCAGGGAAGAAAAUGACGGUACCUGACUAAGAAGCCCCCGCGAACUACGUGCCAGCAGCCGCGGUAAUACGGAGGGGGCCAGCGUUAUCCGGAUGUACUAGGUGUAAAGGGAGCGUAGGCGGCAUUGGAAGUGUGGUGGGAAAGGCAGGGGCUCAACCCCUGGAUUGCAUUGGAAACUGGCAGGAAUGAGUGCAGGAGAGGUAAGUGGAAUGCCUGGGGUAGCGGUGAAAUGCGUAGAUAUUAGGAGGAACACCAGAGGCGAAGGCGACUUACUGGACUGUAACUGACGUUGAGGCUCGAAAGCGUGGGGAGCAAACAGGAUUAGAUACCCCUGUAGUC